GACGGAGGAUGCAAGCGUUAUCCGGAAUGAUUGGGCGUAAAGCGUCCGCAGGUGGCAGUUCAAGUCUGCUGUCAAAGACCGGGGCUUAACUUCGGAAAGGCAGUGGAAACUGAACAGCUAGAGUAUGGUAGGGGCAGAGGGAAUUCCUGGUGUAGCGGUGAAAUGCGUAGAUAUCAGGAAGAACAUCGGUGGCGAAGGCGGUUCUCUGGGCCUUACCUGACGCUGAGGAGCGAAAGCGUGGGGAGCGAACAGG
rnacentral:rRNA from 1 species